rnacentral:rRNA from 1 species
UACGGAGGGGGCAAGCGUUGUUCGGAAUCAUUGGGCGUAAAGCGUAUGUAGGCGGUCGUAUAAGUCAGACGUGUAAGCCCAAGGCUCAACCUUGGAAUUGCGUUUGAAACUAUUCGACUUGAGUAUAGGAGAGGAAAGCGGAAUUCCCAGUGUAGCGGUGAAAUGCAUUGAUAUUGGGAAGAACAUCUGUGGCGAAGGCGGCUUUCUGGCCUGUUACUGACGCUGAGAUACGAAAGCCAGGGGAGCGAACGGG